AUCAACAGCUGACGAGUCUCAAAUAAGACGAAACGUGCGUCCUGGAU
rfam:Schistosoma margrebowiei strain Zambia genome assembly, scaffold: SMRZ_contig0002331